GAGCAGGCACCAAAUAGCAGGCAUAUGCUACCGAGUAGGAGAAGUCUGACUGGAGAGGACCAUCGAGUAGAAGAGCUAGACAGUAGACCAGUCACCGGGCUUGCUUUAGAAUUAAGUGAAGGAUGUGCUAUCUUAGGGUCAUGCCUCAUGGACAGCAAGCUGCAAACAAGUGUCGCCUGUCCUGGGAACAUCCAAAGGCCCUUUUCAGAAAAAGACAAAACAUGAAUUUUAGAAAAAGAACAGAUUUUUUUAGCUAACAAGAUAUACUAGUCCAAUAGCUGGCAUUUAAAAAAAAAUGAAGAUAUAUUAGACCAAGUGGUGUUGACAAGAUGGUGAAAAGUCUAAAAAAGAAUUCAGUGAAUAUUUCAAAAUCAAGUUGUCAAGAUUUAUCUCUACCCAACACAGUGCAUCCCCUACUUAGUUGGCUGAUUUUCUGUCUCUAACCACUUGUCUACUCCAUGAACUCCAGGGAUGUGGGCUCUUGUACAUUGCUGUUCCCCACAGGAGUAUUAAUGGAGCCUGGGGGCCCAGUGAGUGUUUAGUAAAUAAAAAGUGCAGGUGGCUUUGAAGUUUCCGAUUUGUGAAAAUGAGCCCAUGUGGAUUCAUGGUUCCAAGUCAAGGCUAAGGUAACAGUGAGCAGCAUGUUCACUCUUCAGGGCACUUUUGAAACAAGGGGACAGAAACAGAGAGAGCAGGGAAGAGGAGGAUGGGGGGGUGGCUAUAGGCAGCCCCAGUGAUAGGCUUGGUGUGAAAAAGUUGAACUAACUUAGAGGAGAAGUGAGGAAGAGCAGAGACUAAACCUUGACUAAUCUCAUCUCAGAAGACCAAAGGCACAUGGAAAACAACGCCCAGCAAGGAAAGGGUCUUCUCAAUGAGGAGUCUGAGCCCAUCACCUGCCUCAAGGACACAGCUUUCUGUCCUCUAAGUAGAAUUUAACAUGACAUUUUCGGUUUUAAAAAAAUAUCAGGACUGGACACCCAUGUGUCCUCAUAUUCAUAACACUGUUCAUAUGACACCAUUUAUUGAUGAACUUUCUAUCCAAAGUAGAAAACAGCAGUCAUCUCACCAGCUCCCAAGAACACUGGGGGAAUUUGAAACCGGAGUGUACCCAUAUUUCUGUAAACUUUUAGUUUUAGAAGGAAUCAUGCUAUAUUUAUCAUACAAAAUGUAAAUUAUUUGUGUAGGGAAAAUUCGAAGCUGGAUCCUUCUGUAUUUCUAACACAUUUGUUCUUUUGACACACUGAACUAAUUUAUUAGGUGGCGGAAGGUUGAAGACAGAAUGCCUCUGGUGUAAGAAUUUCCUGUAGGUGGAAACUAAUGUCCAAGGCCUCUUUCAGUUUCAUUUCUUGUUUGAUUGAAAUGUUUCAUUAGUUAUCUUUUCUCUCCAUCAGUUAGAAGGCACACAUAGGUGCCCAUGCGAAGGAGAACAUCCAUGCCUCCUUUUACUAUCUAAAGUUACCUUGGACUUAAAAAUAAUUGUUGGAUCAAAACUUACUUUGGAUUACUUUUAAAAAUUUCUUGUGACCUUUAUUAAGAAAGAAACAGCAACAAAAAAUAAUAAUAUUUGGACUCUUACAAUUAUAUUUUUCUGUUGUUAAUGUAAAUAUAGAAAGAUUUAAUUUCCUUUACAUUUCAAAUUACCUUCUAGUAAAUUAGAAGCAAUGAUAUUCCCAUGAUAUUUCUUCACCAUUGCACAUUCGUUAGUGAGUAGUGGGCACUGAGAAAGACUUGCUGCGGAGAUGGAAGAGUCACUUUCCUCACAGGGAGAUGUCGGUGCUGUUUGUCUGCCAUGUAGCUCAGUGGCUGACACUCUGAUGACCAGAUCCACCCCGUUAGUAUGGACAACCCUUCCCCCACUCACCCUAGCUCCAGCUGUGGUGCAGAGGUGGGCUGACUCCACACGUUUCUCUUGGGAGAUUGUUUUUCACUACGCUUCUUGAAUUUCUUAUUUUUCUCAAGUGGAAAACUGAGGCUCUUGUGUGUAUUUCUUCUCAAUUCCCACAGCAAAGUGUGGGCUUGGGCUUUCUAAGAUAGGAUCUUGGAAAACAAAGGAUUAGUUACACUCAACACCUCAAUUUGAAAUUUAAAAAAAAUUAAAUCUUUUUAUAUGUCAUAUAUAUGUCUAUAUGUCUUUCCUGUCAUAUUACCUGUGUCCGGUGUGGGUUUGUUUUGUUUUUUUUUUCUCUCUCUCUCCAUGCUGUAAGAUUAGACAGAAGCCCCAGGAUGAAUGACAGGACAUAGUGGCCCCUGGAGUGGCCCCUGGAGUGGCCCCUGGAGUGGCCCCUGGAGUGGCCCCUGGUCAUGAGCGCCUUGUCUUUCUCCUGGCCUUCUGGUUAUGUGUUGUUGCUGCUGAUAGUGAUAGUGUUUGUUUGUUUGUUUUAUUUUACUCUUCUUCUUUAUGUAACUCUUCACACUCACCUGUCUCAACUUAGACAAAACUCACCUGCUCACUCGUCCCCUCUGGGGGUGCUUUGGGGACGAAGAGGAUUAGGAUCUGUUCCUUGGUGGCUCCUGGUUGAACCGGGUGGCACUGUGAACACUGACGAGAAGAAACUGUUCUAGAAGGGGUGGAUGAACUUGCUUCUAGCUGUCGACCGGUAUCAGCGCACCUUCAAGUUAAUUGGGGCACGUGCUCAGCUUAAUCAAAUAAUGAGUUUCACAAAAAGCUGAAAAUACUUGAAUCCCAUAAUUAAGUGGUAGUUAUUAUACAGAGUUCUCUUGGGUAAUCUUCUAAGUGAGUUAUUUAAGCAGUAGACUAAAUCUGGCUUUCGUUUCCUUUUCUCUAGUAUCACUUAAAUGUUAUUCUACCUUUUUGCUAUUUAAGAACUUUCUGACGGUCCCAUGCCUGUGCUACCGGGGAGGAGUACUGAAGGAGGAAGCUGGGGAUGGUCUAACAACACCCCAGCUAGGAGCAUAGAAAGACAAAAAACCCAGAGGCCUAAGUUAAAAGAUCUUUGUUUACUCUGAGUACCAUUUUACGUGAUGGAUCUCAUUCACUUUUUCACUGAGCCUUUUGUUUUGUUCUGAACUUUAGAAACGACACAAGGCUGAUAAUGCUGUGAACAAGAAACAGACACAAGGUAGGACCUUUAUGUCUUUUUUCUUGUGUUUACCAAGUUUGCUCGCUGUCAUAUCCCCUGACUUUACUUACAUAUGAUUCAGUUCAGGGUACUCUAUUGUAUUGAAAUACUUUCUGUCCAGCAGUUAUUAACUGUCCUUAGCAGUUAUUAACACAGCACUUAAAUUCCCAUGAGAGUGAUAUUUCUGAAAAAGCCACAUUUGAAUAUAUUUAGGUGUUUCCUAGCUAUGUGCUUCGGAAUGUAUUGUUACUAAAGUCUACAGUUCCCCCCGCCCCGUGUU
rnacentral:lncRNA from 1 species